rnacentral:rRNA from 1 species
CACGUAGGGUGCGAGCGUUGUCCGGAAUUAUUGGGCGUAAAGAGCUCGUAGGCGGUGUGUCGCGUCGGCCGUGAAAACCUGGGGCUUAACUCUGGGCUUGCGGUCGAUACGGGCAUCACUGGAGUUCGGCAGGGGAGACUGGAAUUCCUGGUGUAGCGGUGAAAUGCGCAGAUAUCAGGAGGAACACCGGUGGCGAAGGCGGAUCUCUGGGCCAUUACUGACGCUGAGGAGCGAAAGCGUGGGGAGCGAACAGG